AAAAGAAUAAUUUUCACAUUAGCAUUCUAAGAUGAAUAAAUAUGAAAGUCGAAAAUUCUAUAUCGUUUGGUUCGGGGAUAAGCAAAAAGUAGCUAUUCCAGGGAUAGGUAUAAAUUGAGGUAUAAGCGGGGAUUAGAUCAAUUUUGCAAUUGGAUGAAAAUUGGGUUAUUUCUGAGAAUAAAAAAAAUAACGUUUGGUUAGGUAAGAUAGAAUAAGAAAGAUAGUGUGUUUUAUAAAUAAAAAAAUAAUGAUAUUACUCUCUUAUUAUAUUUAAAUUUAAAUUUUUAAACUUUUAAAUUGAAAAUUUUAACUUUGAAAUUUCAAAAUUUGAAAUUUAAAAUCUCAAAUUUUAAAU
rnacentral:lncRNA from 1 species